rnacentral:rRNA from 1 species
UCCUACGGGGGGCAGCAGUGGGGGAUAUUGCACAAUGGGGGAAACCCUGAUGCAGCGACGCCGCGUGUGGGAAGACGGUCCUCUGGAUUGUAAACCACUGUCCCCAGGGACGAAGAUGACGGUACCUGGGGAGGAAGCUCCGGCUAACUACGUGCCAGCAGCCGCGGUAAUACGGAGGAUGCGAGCGUUAUCCGGAUUUAUUGGGUUUAAAGGGUGCGCAGGCGGCACGGCAAGCCGGCGGUCAAAUCGCGGGGGUCAACCCCGCCCAGCCGUCGGAACUGCCGGGCUAGAGUGGGCGAGAAGUG